GGUUCCCAAACCAGUCCUCAUGGCCCACCAACAGUCCAGAAUUUAUAUAUUUCCCUGUUUUAUUCCAAUGGAGAUACUAACAAAACCUGGACUGUUGGUGGGUCUUGAGGAUUGGUUUGGGAAA